rnacentral:rRNA from 1 species
GUGAGGAAUAUUGGACAAUGGGCGCAAGCCUGAUCCAGCCAUGCCGCGUGCAGGAAGACGCAUCUAUGGUGUGUAAACUGCUUUUGUACGGGAAGAAACACUCCCUCGUGAGGGAGCUUGACGGUACCGUAAGAAUAAGGAUCGGCUAACUCCGUGCCAGCAGCCGCGGUAAUACGGAGGAUCCAAGCGUUAUCCGGAAUCAUUGGGUUUAAAGGGUCCGUAGGCGGUUUAAUAAGUCAGUGGUGAAAGCCCAUCGCUCAACGAUGGAAAGGCCAUUGAUACUGUUAGACUUUAAUUACAAGGAAGUAACUAGAAUAUGUAGUGUAGCGGUGAAAUGCUUAGAUAUUACAUGGAAUACCAAUUGCGAAGGCAGGUUACUACUUGUGGAUUGACGCUGAUGGACGAAAGCGUGGGGAGCGAACAGGAUUAGAUACCCUGGUAGUCC